UACGGAGGGUGCAAGCGUUGUCCGGAAUCACUGGGCGUAAAGGGCGCGUAGGCGGCUCAUGAAGGCUGUGGUGAAAGUCCGGGGCUCAACCUCGGAUCGGCCGUGGCGACUCGUGGGCUGGAGCACUGUAGAGGCGGGUGGAAUUCCGGGUGUAGCGGUGGAAUGCGCAGAUAUCAGGAGGAACACCGGUGGCGAAGGCGGGACUCUGGGCCGAUACUGACGCUGAGGAGCGAAAGCGUGGGGAGCGAACAGG
rnacentral:rRNA from 1 species